CCUACGGGUGACAGCAGUAGGGACUAUUUCUCACUGGGGGAAACCCUGAAGCAGCAACGCCGCGUGGAGGAUGGAGGUUUUCGGAUUGUAAACUCCUUUUGUUAGAGAAGAUAAUGACGGUCUCUAACGAAUAAGCACCGGCUAACUCCGUGCCAGCAGCCGCGGUAAUACGGAGGGUGCAAGCGUUACUCGGCAUCACUGGGCGUAAAGAGCGCGUAGGCGGGAUAGCAAGUCAGAUGUGAAAUCCGCUGUCUUAACCAUAGAACUGCAUUUGAAACUGUUAUUCUAGAGUAUGGGAGGGGUAGGUGGAAUUCUUGGUGUAGGGGUAAAAUCCGUAGAGAUCAAGAGGAAGACUCAUUGCGAAGGCGACCUGCUAGAACAUAACUGACGCUGAUGCGCGAAAGCGUGGGGAGCAAACAGGAUUAGAUACCCGUGUAGUC
rnacentral:rRNA from 1 species